UGUGUGUGCACUGUCGGGCAGCAGGGGGCGCUGUGGCUGCGCGCGCACUCGCUUGCUCAGCGUCUCAAAGCAGCCGGCAGGAAAAACGUUUUGGCAGCGGUGGGAUUCGAACCCACGCCCCCGAAGAGACUGGAGCCUUAAUCCAGCGCCUUAGACCGCUCGGCCACGCUACCCUCGUGCUGAACAAGCCGUUUCCAUUCCUUAUCUAUGCGAUUUUUUUGGCAGUCCAUGGCGUCCUCUCCUCCAGCGCUACAUUUCGACUCCCAGUUAGCAGGUUAAACUGCUGAGCUGCUGAACUUGCUGACCGAAAGGUUUGAAUCCAGCAGUUAGAAUCCGGAACCAACCAGAGAAGACCUGAGACCCAUGUCAGUAUCAAAAAUCAGAUGCCAGUCGGGACCUGCCAGAAGCAAGAGUUUGUGGUGUUCAAACCUUCCCAAGGAUGGAUUUCCCAAUUUUCUUCUCCAGCUCCAAGGCGUUGAGCCUCUGCACUUCCACUGCAACACAGGAGGGUCUGUGGAUGUGGACUCUGGCCGCGUUGAAGAGAUUCCACUUCUCCACACUGACCUAAAACAGGACAAAGGCACUGCUGACGUGAGUUUGAAAUGUAUUUUUAAAAGGAAAAGAAAGAAGAAUUACAUCUUAUUGAGACCACACUGCCAUCCAGAAUCAAGAGAGCCUUCUCAAGCUGCAGCAGUAAUUCCCCCCAAAAACAAAUUUGUGAAAAGGAAUUAAGUAAAACAGAACUUAAUCAGGCAUAAAUACAUAUAUUUAUCCCAAUUAACUCAGUUGGGCUUACAGUUCAAUUAUAGGAUUGCAUUGUAACUCAGAAGUGGGAACUGUGUGGCCUUCCAGAUAUAGUUACAUUGCCAGUCCUAGAAGCCUAGUCAAUGGAACAGAAUGAUGGAAGUUGCAGUUCUAAAAUAUCUGGAGAACCACCCAGUUCCCAUUCAUGCUGUAGCUCAUUCUCCACAACAAUAAUUUCUUGUCAAUUUGGGGAAAAGUAAAUCACAUGCACAAACAAACUCCUAGUUGCCACUUAUUGUGGUGGCAGCAAAAGGCUAGCAAAACAGGCAAUGCAAGUCCCCAAUGAGCAGUGUAAGAUCUAAAAGGCACUUUAUUGGAAGGGCAAAGAAUUGGGGGCAUUGAAAAGAAUUUAGAACAUUUAGAAAAUAAGUUAAUGAUCUGAAACUCUCAGAACACCCCAACCAGCAUGGCCAAUGGUUGCCCAAGUCUGAAUUUUGAAUGAUCCAUAUUGUAAAGAAGUGUGUUUUUAUUUUGAUUUAUAGAUGUCAUGUUUAAUUUCAUUUUAAAAGUCAGGUUUAACUAUGUUUAAAAUGGUAAGUAUUAGUCACCAGUGCGUGGGGGAUGGUAACCAGCUCAGCAUUCUGAGGCAGGUUGCCAUAGUAACGAGGGUGGAGCCAAUCGCCGUUUGAAGAAAAAGGAGGGAAUGUUAAAAAAAAAAAAGUUUAGUCUGUGGUCAGAGAACCAUAGGGAAGGUUAGUUUUAGAGUCAGUGCCCUUAUGAGGUACUGAGAGACUAAUUCUGGUUGAGGGAUCAGGGUGGCUCAAAGGAUUGGACAUUUUGAGUCAAUUUGAAAAUAAGUGGCGACUUAUUUUAAGUUAGUCUGUGAUUUUAGUCACAGGGAAGACACGGGUUCCAGGUUAGAGAAAGGGAAAGCAAUCCCAGUUAGAUCCAAAGUGAUCAGUUAUUAACUUUGCAACCAUUAUCUAAGUGCCUUUAAAGAAGUUACUGUAACCACUAAGCUCUGUGCCUGAAAUAAACUUGUUUUUGUUCUUCAUCA